CCAGCCCAGCCCGCCCGCCCGCCCCGGCGGCGGCGCCGCCCCCCCUCCCUUGUGUGGGGCCCGAGACCCGCUGAGGUGCUCUGCUUGGGCCCGGCUGGGCUAGCUAGGGGGCCGGCGCGUCUCUGCAGGACGUGGUGUGAAGGAAAGCAGCGGCCACCUCCUCCACCUCUUGUACGGCGCCCGAUGCAGAAGCCCCCGUCCUGGCAGAGGAGUAGGCUGGGGAGGAGCCCUCAAGCAGGGCAGGCCCAAGGUGUGGCUCGGGCAUCAGGGAGGACACAGGUGCCCCUGGGGAAACCUCCCUCUGGGAAGGGCAGGUGCCCCGCACACUUUAAGCGACUCCAGGGUUAGGCAGCCUCUGAGCCCACAGCUUCACCCCUAGGCUUUGAGUUCCCGAGUCUUUUGUGGCUCUAGCCCUUCUUCUUUGUCGGAGCCAAUAUGGCAUCUGGUUCCUCCAUCAGUACAGAAAUGUGACCUAAAGAUACAGGACUAAUUUACAGAAUUGCAACUGGCGAAUGGAAAGAUCAGAGCCAGGAGGUCUAAAACAGGGCAGGGGCAGGGCUCUGCGCGUCAAGGCUGGGAUCAGGCAGGAAGGAGCAGGGCAGGAACAAGGCUGUAGUGGGGCAGGAGCGAGAGAGAGGUCCAGAAGCACACACACAGGAGCACUGUUGCUGGGACAAGUCCCACAAGAAGUACAAAGUGGGUUUUAUGGUCCCCCUCUCAAGGGCUUGUUCCUCCAGGUCACCUGACUCCUCCUCAGUGUCCUCAUGGGAGGCACCCGGCUGGACUGGGGCUAGCAUCUGACCAGCUGCCGUCUAGUUUGGCUGGUUUGAGUCGCAUAAUAAACCCAGAGAUUUCAACUAGGAAUCCACAGUAUUAGACCACAACAGGCCAGAAUGUUGUUUUGUUUUGUUUUUAAUUCCUUGCAAUAGAAGAAUUUCUCCAUUAUUUUUCUGUAGUCCAAAAACAAGUGAAAACUAAGAUCUGAGAUUUUAUGAAGUGUCUCUCAAGUCAAAAAGGUAGAGAACCACUACAGUAAAGUCCUAGUACAUAGCCAAUUCCCUAAUACAGCAUCUGUGAUGAUCUAAAUGUGGAAAUGUCCAAAUACCACAGAAAUAAUUACAAGAAAAACUGAGGGGAAAUAAAUAAGAAGUGAUCAUGCUUAACAGUUUAGGAAAAAGAAAGGGGGAGAGAAAGAGCAUCCAACUGCAAAGUGGCUACUCUAAAUUUGGCAGUACCUUUAUAAGAAGUUUCUACCCAAGUCACAAUGUGGUUUUAGACCACUCAGAGGCACAAUAGAUAUCAAGCUUUGUUGCUAGACAGCUGCAGGAAAAGUGUCGCAAGCAACACAGAAAUCGAUACAUAGGUCAAUAAAGGCUAAGGCCUUUGAUUCAUUCAGAGAAGCUCUAUGGAAGAUCCUGGUGAGAUUCGGAUGCCAUCCAAGCUAUUUUGCAUCUGAUUGCUGACAGACUUCCAUCUGAAGACAACAUCCAAUAUCACGUGCAUGAGAAUUGCUUUAACUACAACUGGUCACAUUGCAAAUCCAAGGUAACCAAUGCCUCCGUUACUUCAAUACGCUGACAAUUUUCUAAUGUGUGCUUGCACAGUUGAAAAGCUCCAGGGCACUCUUGAUUGCUUCUUUGAAGCAUAUGAAACACUUGGACUUAGUCAACUUCACAUAAACCAAGAUACUUUGCCAACCCAUGCCAAACCAACCAACUGUUCCUUCAUACAUUACAAUUAGAGGGCAAUCCUUGGAGAAUGUUGAGCAUUUCCCCUACCUGGGUAGCUACUUUUCCCAAAAAGUAAACAGAGAUUACAAUAUUCAACACCAGGUUAAAUCUACCAUUGCUGCCUUUGGACAUCUCUGAAAUUGUGUCUUCAAUGGUCAUACCAUCAGGACCCAAAGCUGUCAUCCCUACCCCAUUGUAUGGGUGUGAGACUUGGAUGAUGUAUUGAAAACACCGGAAAGCUUUGGGAUGUUGCCAUCAACAAUGUCUUCAGAAAAUCGUCCAUAUCAACUGGAAGGACAAAAGAAUGAACACCAGUAUUCUGGCUCAAGCAAACUCCCCGCAUUGAAGCCAUGAAUAUACAGCACCAACUUUGCUAGAGAGGACAUGUCAGAACGAUGCCUGACAACUGGCUCCCAAAACAAGUCCUAUACUCCCAACUCACCAAUGAUCACCACUCCAAAGGUGGGUAAAAGGAAAGAUUCAAGGACACUUUGAAGGCCAAUCAGAAAAAAUGCAAUAUUAAUAUCAAUACCUGGGAGACUCAAGCACUGAAUCAUCUCCCAAUGACACCGUGGUAUAUGACAAGGCAUUGAUCAUUUUGAGCAAAGUCACCUCACUUUGGAGGUGGAUAGAUGAGAGAGACAAAGGGAAAGGGCUUGGAAGAACUCAACCUCACCAGGUUCUUCUCCUAGAACUAUUUGCUACGUCUUCAAUAAAAUAUGUGGAUCUCAGAUUUGCCCACUCAGUCAUCUUUGAAUCAAGGAACCGACAAUGAUGCCAACUUCAGAUAGGACAGAGGUAUAACUGGGGGAACCUUAAUUUUAAAAAGUUAGAUACCUUUUGACUUUAAAUGACUCAAGGGUUAGGCACCAGCUGAGCAGAGAUUUUGAGCACUGUAGCUUUGCACUCGAGUGUGUCCACAAAAGGAAUGUUUAUGUCAGUAAUGUGACAGGCAAUAUAGAUGAGGUGCGUAUUUCAUCUGGAUAAUAACUUACUCUAUAAGUAAUUAUCAUGUAUAGUGAAUUGAGUUAAGGGUAUCCGAAUCUGACCAGUUUCUUUUUACAGAAAUACAAAGUAUUUUUUGCUUGAUGAGGAAAUCCCAGCAACUGCAGACUAUGCUAGAGAUGUCCAUUCAGGAGAGAGAGAGAGCGUGUAUGUAUGUAUAUAAAUUAGGGCUGUCAAUCGCAGUUAACUUACAGGAUCAAGGCAAAAACAAAUUAACCCAUUUAUUUUUUUAAUUGUGUAAAUUGCAAACAUUGUUUUGACCAGGGGAGCAGACCAGCUGGAACCCAUGUGCACAGCCCUGACCCAAUGCCUGCUCCAGACACCCGCCCAUGCUGAGCAGUGGCAGCAGCUGGACAGAAGCUGCUAUUUGAUACGAGGGAAAGUGGCCCACCCCGUCAUCGCUACCGGGCCCUUCUUGUUGCAGUCGCCUAAAGUCUGCACCUGGGCUGCUCUGUGGGUCCUCUCUGUUGCCAUCACUGCCGCCUCUGGGCCGUGAUGCGGUGGCAGUGCAGAGGAGCUGCAGGGCAGCUGCAGAAAGAAGGGCCCAGCAGCGGUGAGGGGAAGGGGCCGUUUUUCCUCCGCGCUAAGCGGCUGCUCCUGCCUGGCCACUGCCACUGCUCAGCGUAGGCAGGUGAGUCUGGAGCAAGCACAGGGUGGGCCAGGGUUGGGGAUGUUUGCAUGGGUUCCAGCUGAUCCGCUCCAGCCAGGGCAAGUCCAAGGCGGGCUGGGAUCAGGGCUACAGCUGUGCACUGUAGCUGGUGGCAAGGAGGACCUGCAGGGUGCACAGGGCUCCAGGCUGUUGGGUGGGGGGUGCUGACUAUCGUUUAAUUGUACAAUUAAAAUGGCAAUUAAUUGUUACUAUUUUUUAAUCUCACAAUUAAUUGUGAUUAAUGUAUUUUAAUCAUUUGUCAACCCUAAUAUAAAUAUAUAUAUAUUUUAAA